UACGUAGGGUGCAGGCGUUAAUCGGAAUUACUGGGCGUAAAGCGUGCGCAGGCGGUUUUGUAAGCCAGAUGUGAAAGCCCCGGGCUUAACCUGGGAAUGGCAUUUGGGACUGCAAGGCUGGAGUGUGGCAGAGGAGACUGGAAUUCCUGGUGUAGCAGUGAAAUGCGUAGAUAUCAGGAGGAACACCGAUGGCGAAGGCAGGUCUCUGGGCUGACACUGACGCUCAUGCACGAAAGCGUGGGGAGCAAACAGG
rnacentral:rRNA from 1 species